CUUCCAUUCAACUAACCAAUAGUCUCUCGAUCAACCCAAAAUUUUACAAAUGAAAGAGACGAAAGACAAGUUUUUUUCGAAGAAGGCUGCGACAAUCUCUAUGGCCUCUUUCAAGUUAAUUUGCUUAUUUAGCCUUAUUUAGCCUUAAUGAAAUGAAUAUAAAAAAAAUAAAAAAAAAUAAGGAUAAUUUGUCAAAACGGAAACGAGCUUGAGACCGCCAGACCUCCUCUCCCUCGAGACCGCCGGACCUCCUCUCCCUCGACCGCCGGACCUCCUCGUCGCUGCUCCGCCGUCUCGAACCAUAUGCUCCGUCAUCUUUUCUCAUCACCGUCGAGCUCAUCCUCAUCGUCUUUGUGUCGUCACGUUCAAUGGGCCGGUGUACACCAUCGAGCUUAUCAAUCUUCCCAGAAACGAUUGAUUCAUGUUGGUCAGGAAGAAGCUUAGAUCGAGAACAAACAAAUCGAACGAAUCAAGCGGCGAUUAUUCGGAGAUUACUCGGAGAGUAAUUACAGCCUUUUUUGUUACUUCUCACGCAUAUAUUUUAUAGAAUGUAACAGAUAUCCAAAGGAUUUGUGUUGUCAUUGUGGUUAAGUUGUUUCUGAGUAAUUUUGUGUCAUAGGUUCGAAUCUUAGGAUGG
rnacentral:lncRNA from 1 species